UUUUUCCUACGGGAGGCAGCAGUGGGGAAUAUUGCGCAAUGGGGGCAACCCUGACGCAGCAACGCCGCGUGAUUGAAGAAGGCCUUCGGGUUGUAAAGAUCUUUAAUCAGGGACGAAAAAUGACGGUACCUGAAGAAUAAGCUCCGGCUAACUACGUGCCAGCAGCCGCGGUAAUACGUAGGUGGCAAGCGUUGUCCGGAUUUACUGGGUGUAAAGGGCGUGCAGCCGGAGAGACAAGUCAGAUGUGAAAUCCACGGGCUCAACCCGUGAACUGC
rnacentral:rRNA from 1 species